rnacentral:lncRNA from 1 species
AUGUACAGUAUCAUGUCAUCUGUGAAUAAUGACAAUUUCACUUCUUCCUUUCAAUUAAUUAAUCUUGUUUAUUUCCUUCUCUUUUCCCAGAUUGCUUACAAGUAUAAGACAAUGACAGAAUCAACAUCACAGCAGUUAAAUCCAUGUUUUCAAAUAGAGGGAUUACUGAAGAGAAAUGUGUGUAAAGUGACUAAAGGUAUGUUAGACUGCAUUAUCUUAUUUACUUCUAUAAAUUUGGAAAUGUGCUUCUAUAGUAAAUAAUUUGAUUCUAACUCAUAAUAUAUAUGAUGCUUGAGGAUCCUAGAAUCCUUGUGAUUUAUAUAAUUUGAAGUUGAUAUGCAUUUAUUUUUAAUCACUACCUCUCUGUUGAAUAUUCAAUUAAUACGAUUCUCCUUGCUCAUUCUUUUCUGUAGUCUGAAUGUUUCCACCACACAACUAAUAUGUUAAUAAUCAGUUCUCAAAAUAAUAGUACUAAGAGGUGGGGAUUUUAGGAGGUAAUUAGGUUAUAGGAGCAGUGCUUAUGAAUGGGAUUAUAGCCCUUAUAAAAGAAGCUUGAGGGUACUUAUUUGCUCCCUCAGGAACUGCAAAAAUGACCAUGUAGGAAGCAAGCAGUAAGCCCUCAUCAAACACUAAUGGCAACAAGACCUUGGAGUUCCUAUCUUCUAAAAUUGUGAGCAACAAACUUUCGUGCUUGUAAAUUACUCAGAUUAGGGUAUUUUGUUAUAGCAGGCCAAACAGACUAAGACAACAUUUGAAAUAUUUUAAUGUCAACAUUUUUAAAUGUUUAAUAUUUUUAUUUUAUUGAAGUUUUAUUUGAUUUCAUGAAAUUGAAUUUGGAAAUAACUUAGAAAGAUAGCAUUUAGCUAACUUCCUAAAAUUCCCAUGCAGUUUUUCAAAGAGCAAUUGUAGAUAGCACAUGAUUUUCUUAACACUAAAAUUGAACAGAAAGACACACAUUAUUGUCAUAUAAAUGAAAUGUUUUCUCCAAAGUGCUGUUCCUCUAUAGUAGAACAGUUUUAUGAUUUGAGUUUUUUUGACCUGCCUAUAGAUUUUUAAUAUGGUAUUUCUAAAUACCAUCUACUACCAAACAUUGCCACAUGGAUUCAGCUGAUAGGCUCUUUUCAGUGAAAGGACUAUCUUAUUUCUACCAGUCUAAGAAUAGCAUUAUAUAUGAAUUAAACACUCUUAAUCUCUGCUCAGCUCACCCCUAAAAUCUGCCUCUUUCCCAUAGCAUUUGAACAUUCACUCAGCAUAAUCUUAAACUAUAUUGAAUUUGGAAAUAAAAAAAUAAACACUCUCACGAAAAGUUCUUUGAAGCACACAGCCCUCGGCAGAGAUAUGUGGCAACUUGAAACCAAAUGCUAGUGCUUCAUCUCCAAAUGUGGUACAAGUGAAGUUACCUGCUUAGUCAGCAAACCUGUUAAAAAUGUAUAUUUUUAUUUUAAAAAUGUAUUUAUUAAGAAAGAAACAGCAUUCAUUUAAAUACAAUUUUACAAAUAAUGAAGUGUUUUAGAUUUGAAGUAUUUUGAAUAAUGAAGUAUUUUAGAGAAAAGUAUAGUUUAAUAGCUUAAUUUUGGGCCAAAACUGAAGUAGAGUUCCAUGUCAUUUAUUAUAUGAAAGAAUCUUAAUAGAGCUCUGAAAUGUUUUUAAAAUGAUGUCAUGGCUACAUUGUAAAAUGCAUGACAAUUUAAACAACAAUAAACACUUAUGUCAUGUUUGAACAGUACACUUCCAGGUACUGUUCUAGAAAUGUAUAUUUACCUCUCAUAGCACCUGAAAUGGUAGGAUAAUAUUCCCAAUUGAUAAAUGAGGAAACAGGUCCAGAGAAUUACACAACCUAAUGUAGGCAGCCAGUGGUGAAAAUGCAAUUUAAGCCUAAGCAGUCUGGCUUUGGACUCUAUGCUUUUAACCUAGAGACCCUGUCUUUUGUCUGUCUAUACUAUAUGCCAUCUACCAGGUGUGAAAUGCUUAUUAGUACUUCCUUAUACAUGCUUUUCUGAGUGUGUUGUGUCUGGCCUCAAUAUUUUGAUACUAUGUUUUCCCCAUUACAGGUUGAUUAUCUCUAAUUUGAAAAUCUAAUAUCAGAAGUGCUUCAAAAAUCUAAAACUUCUUGAGCACCAACAUGAUAUCACUGUGGAAGACUCCACACCCGACCUCAUAUGAUAGGUGGCACGUCAGCCCAGGUGCUCCAUAAAGGCUACAUGAAAUAACCUUCAGGCUAUGUAUAUAAGGUAUAUAUGAAACAUCAAUAAAUUUUCCUAUAUAGACUUGGGUCUUGUUCCUAGUUUCAUUAUUUGUCUGCAAUAUUCCAAAACCCAACCAACAAACAAACAAAAAAACAAAUCCAAAAUGCUUCUGGUCCCAAGCGUUUUUUUUUUUUUUUUCCUCCGGUACCGGGAACCAAACUCACGACCUUGCGCUUGCCAGGCAGGCGCUUUUGCUGCUGAGCUAAAUCCCCAGCCCCUCCAAGCAUUUUUUUUAAAAGAAAAAAUAAAAAUAAAACAGAGUUUCAAAACUGGCUAAUAGGAGAGUAACAAUACUAAUACACUGCGGAUUAUUAUCCCAAGCAUUUUGGAUAAGGGAUACUCAAUUUUUAUGCUAUUGCUGUUUUAAACA